AAGCUUACAGAUAACAUGGCCAGUCCAGUGACCUUGGUUCUUUUGCAGCAGGGUGUGUAGUAUUGAUAGAAGUUUCACUUACUGGAGUGCUUCUGUGUCUGGAACCUUGUGCUGUCAUUUAAUGCGGAACAAUCUUGAGAUUACAUGCGGUGUGAAAGUGAUUUAGCCAUCUGGCAUGUUCACUGUAGACAGUCAAUGUCUUGCAGGCAUAAAUAAGCACUGUGAGUGCAACAGCUUGGUGAAAAUACUAAUACUCCUAUGUUCCCAAAUAUUAGCUUUCCUAGAAUUGACCUAAUUAUUACGACAAACACAUCUGAGAGAAGCCAAAGGUUUUCUCUGGAUCAAUCACUGGUUCACUGGAUUUAUGAUGGUGAUAGUGACAAUGGAUUAUCUGCACAAACUCAGCUGAAAGAAAUGCCACAAGGAGCCUUGUUCAAAUAUACUGAGGAAUAAUACUUUCAACUGCACCCCAUACUAAGCAUCAAACAAACAAGAAAUAUUGGAAAGAGAAAUGUUUGAAAGUUACAUGAUAUAUUCUUAGUAAUAUCAGCAGCAUGAGAAGAGUGAUUUAUUCCAACUGAAAAUUGAAACAGACUUUUAAACUCAAGUGAGCUAAGAAUUUAACAUGUUACUCUUGAGUAUU